GAUGAAGAACGUAGCGAAAUGCGAUAAGUAAUGUGAAUUGCAGAAUUCAGUGAAUCAUCGAAUCUUUGAACGCACCUUGCGCCCUUUGGCCAUUCCGAAGGGCAUGCCUGUUUGAGUAUCAUGAACACCUCAACUCUUCAUGGUUUUCCAUGAUGAGCUUGGACUUUGGGGGUCUUGCUGGCCUGUGGGUCGGCUCCUCUCAAAUGAAUCAGCUUGCCGGUCUUUGGUGGGCAUCACAGGUGUGAUAACUAUCUACGCUUGUGGUUUUCCACCAGGGUAACCUUCAGCAGUGGAGGUUCACUGGAGCUUACAAAUGUCUCUCCUCUGUGAGGACAGCCCUUUGAAUGUUUGAUCUCAAAUCAGGUAGGACUACCCGCUGAACUUAAGCAUAUCAAUAAGCGGAGGA
rnacentral:misc_RNA from 1 species